CGAUUAUAAAGUUAGUGGCGGACGGGUGAGUAACGCGUGAAUAACCUGCCCUGUACCGGGGGACAACAAUUGGAAACGGCUGCUAAUACCGCAUAAGCGCACGGUUCCGCAUGGAACAGUGUGAAAAACUCCGGUGGUACAGGAUGGAUUCGCGUCUGAUUAGCCAGUUGGUGGGGUAACGGCCUACCAAAGCAACGAUCAGUAGCCGGCCUGAGAGGGUGAACGGCCACAUUGGGACUGAGACACGGCCCAAACUCCUACGGGAGGCAGCAUG
rnacentral:rRNA from 1 species